rnacentral:tRNA from 1 species
GGCCCUGUAGUUCAAUGCCCGCCCGGCUGACGCGGUCGGACGGGGAUAGAAUAGAAGUUUCCUAAACUUUAGAUAUGGGUUCGAUUCCCGUCGGGGCUA